GAGACCGGCGCACGGGUGCGUAACGCGUAUGCAAUCUACCUUUUACAGAGGGAUAGCCCAGAGAAAUUUGGAUUAAUACCUCAUAGUAUAACGACUCGGCAUCGAGAUGUUAUUAAAGUUCCAACGGUAAAAGAUGAGCAUGCGUCCCAUUAGCUAGUUGGUGUGGUAACGGCACACCAAGGCAACGAUGGGUAGAGGUCCUGAGAGGGAGAUCCCCCACACUGGUACUGAGACACGGACCAGACUCCUACGGGAGGCAGCAGUGAGUAAUAUUGGUCAAUGGGCGCAAGCCUGAACCAGCCAUGCCGCGUGCAGGACGACGGUCCUAUGGAUUGUAAACUGCUUUUGUACAGGAAGAAACACUCCCUCGUGAGGGAGCUUGACGGUACUGUAAGAAUAAGGAUCGGCUAACUCCGUGCCAGCAGCCGCGGUAAUACGGAGGAUCCAAGCGUUAUCCGGAAUCAUUGGGUUUAAAGGGUGCGUAGGCGGCCUAAUAAGUCAGUGGUGAAAGCCUCCAGCUUAACUGGAGAACUGCCAUUGAUACUGUUAGGCUUGAGUAUACUUGAGGUAGGCGGAAUUGACAGUGUAGCGGUGAAAUGCAUAGAUAUUGUCAAGAACACCAAUUGCGAAGGCAGCUUACUAAAUUAUAACUGACGCUGAGGCACGAAAGUGUGGGUAUCAAACAGGAUUAGAUACCCUGGUAGUCCACACUGUAAACGAUGAUUACUCGCUGUUGGCGAUAAACUGCCAGCGGCCAAGCGAAAGCGUUAAGUAAUCCACCUGGGGAGUACGCCG
rnacentral:rRNA from 1 species